GAUGAACGCUGGCGGCGUGCCUAAUACAUGCAAGUCGAGCGAACAGACGAGGAGCUUGCUCCUCUGACGUUAGCGGCGGACGGGUGAGUAACACGUGGAUAACCUACCUAUAAGACUGGGAUAACUUCGGGAAACCGGAGCUAAUACCGGAUAAUAUAUUGAACCGCAUGGUUCAAUAGUGAAAGACGGUUUUGCUGUCACUUAUAGAUGGAUCCGCGCCGCAUUAGCUAGUUGGUAAGGUAACGGCUUACCAAGGCAACGAUGCGUAGCCGACCUGAGAGGGGGUGCGGCCCCACUGGACAUGAGACCCGGUCCAGCCUCCUACGGGAGGCAGAAGUAGGGAAUCUUCCGCAAUGGGCGAAAGCCUGACGGAGCAACGCCGGGUGAGUGAUGAAGGUCUUCGGAUCGUAAAACUCUGUUUUUAGGGAAAAACAAAUGUGUAAGUAACUAUGCCCGUCUUGACGGUACCUAAUCAGAAAGCCCCGGCUAACUACGU
rnacentral:rRNA from 1 species